ensembl:lincRNA 0610043K17Rik RIKEN cDNA 0610043K17 gene
GGUCCUGCUAGCUCCACCUUGAGAACACUGGGAGUAUGGGCUUACAGCAGAAGAGGAAAGUGGUGAGGUCACCAGCCGAGGAGUGGAUGGGGAGAAGAGAGAACGGAAACUCAUUGAGAAAUACAUUGUGUCAGCUGGGAAACCGGACAGGGUCAUUGGCCACCAGGCCACGAGGACAAAGGGAGCAGAAUCGAUGAACAGGAUUUCAGAUGGCCGGAAAAGAAAAAAGGCAGGAAGUAACACAACAAGCUCAGAAGAAAGUCUCGCCAACAGAUGGAAUGAAAUGGAAGAGAAAAUGUCAAGUCUUGAAGACAAAGUAGAAAAAUGGAUCGAUCAUCCAAAGACUAUGUGAACUAUAAAUUAAAAAUCUAGGCAUUCAGGGAAUCUGGGACAGUAUGAAGAGACCAAAUCUAUGAAUAAUUGAUAUAGAGGAAGGAGAAGAAACUCAAGUGAAAGCCACAGAAAAUAUCUUUUAACAAAAAUCAUAGAAUAAAAAAUUUCAAAUCUA